rnacentral:rRNA from 1 species
AUUGAACGCUGGCCCUAUCACCAGCAAGUCGAACGGUAACAGAGGGAGCUUGCUCCUUGCUGACGAGUGGCGGACGGGUGAGUAACGCGUAGGAAUCUGCCUGAUAGAUGGGGACAACUCAGGGAAACUUGAGCUAAUACCGAAUACGCCCUACGGGGGAAAGCGGGGGAUCUUCGGACCUCGCGCUAUCAGAUGAGCCUGCGUUGGAUUAGCUAGUUGGUGAGGUAAUGGCUCACCAAGGCGACGAUCCAUAGCUGGUCUGAGAGGACGAUCAGCCACACUGGGACUGAGACACGGCCCAGACUCCUACGGGAGGCAGCAGUGGGGAAUAUUGGACAAUGGGCGAAAGCCUGAUCCAGCAAUGCCGCGUGUGUGAAGAAGGCCUGAGGGUUGUAAAGCACUUUCAGUAGGGAAGAAAGGUCAAGCGUUAAUAGCGCUAGGCUUGACGUUACCUACAGAAGAAGCACCGGCUAACUCCGUGCCAGCAGCCGCGGUAAUACGGAGGGUGCGAGCGUUAAUCGGAAUUACUGGGCGUAAAGCGCGCGUAGGCGGUUAAUUAAGUCAGAUGUGAAAGCCCCGGGCUCAACCUGGGAACUGCAUUUGAAACUGGUUAACUAGAGUGUGGUAGAGGAGAGUGGAAUUUCAGGUGUAGCGGUGAAAUGCGUAGAGAUCUGAAGGAACACCAGUGGCGAAGGCAGCCCCCUGGGUUAAUACUGACGCUCAUGUACGAAAGCGUGGGUAGCGAACAGGAUUAGAUACCCUGGUAGUCCACGCCCUAAACGAUGUCAACUAGUUGUUGGAGAAGGAGACUUCUUUAGUAACGUAGCUAACGCGUGAAGUUGACCGCCUGGGGAGUACGGUCGCAAGAUUAAAACUCAAAGGAAUUGACGGGGACCCGCACAAGCGGUGGAUUAUGUGGAUUAAUUCGAUGCAACGCGAAAAACCUUACCUACCCUUGACAUGCCAAGAACUUUCCAGAGAUGGAUUGGUGCCUUCGGGAACUUGGACACAGGUGCUGCAUGGCUGUCGUCAGCUCGUGUCGUGAGAUGUUGGGUUAAGUCCCGCAACGAGCGCAACCCUUGUCAUUAAUUGCCAUCAUUUAGUUGGGCACUUUAAUGAGACUGCCGGUGAUAAACCGGAGGAAGGUGGGGAUGACGUCAAGUCCUCAUGGCCCUUAUGGGUAGGGCUUCACACGUAAUACAAUGGCGCGUACAGAGGGUUGCCAAGCCGCGAGGUGGAGCUAAUCUCAGAAAGCGCGUCGUAGUCCGGAUUGCACUCUGCAACUCGAGUGCAUGAAGUCGGAAUCGCUAGUAAUCGCGGAUCAGAAUGUCGCGGUGAAUACGUUCCCGGGUCUUGUACACACCGCCCGUCACACCAUGGGAGUGGGUUCCACCAGAAGCAGGUAGUCUAACCGCAAGGAGGGCGCUUGCCACGGUGAGAUUCAUGACUGGGGUG